rnacentral:rRNA from 1 species
CCUACGGGCGGCAGCAGUGGGGAAUAUUGCACAAUGGGCGAAAGCCUGAUGCAGCAACGCCGCGUGAAGGAAGACGGUUUUCGGAUUGUAAACUUCUGUUCUUAGUGAAGAAUAAUGACGGUAACUAAGGAGCAAGCCACGGCUAACUACGUGCCAGCAGCCGCGGUAAUACGUAGGUGGCAAGCGUUGUCCGGAAUUACGGGGUGUAAAGGGAGCGUAGGCGGGAAGGCAAGUCAGCUGUGAAAACUACGGGCUUAACCUGUGGACUGCAGUUGAAACUGGCUUUCUUGAGUAAAGUAGAGGUUGGCGGAAUUACGAGUGUAGCGGUGAAAUGCGUAGAUAUUCGGAAGAACACCGGUGGCGAAGGCGGACGACUGGACUUUAACUGACGCUGAGGCUCGAAAGUGUGGGGAGCAAACAGGAUUAGAUACCCGAGUAGUC